UACGGAGGAUGCGAGCGUUAUCCGGAUUUAUUGGGUUUAAAGGGUGCGUAGGCGGUCCGUUAAGUCAGCGGUAAAAUUGCGGGGCUCAACCCCGUCGAGCCGUUGAAACUGUCAGACUUGAGUUGGCGAGAAGUACGCGGAAUGCGCGGUGUAGCGGUGAAAUGCAUAGAUAUCGCGCAGAACUCCGAUUGCGAAGGCGGCUUACUGGACUGUAACUGACGUUGAGGCUCGAAAGCGUGGGGAGCAAACAGG
rnacentral:rRNA from 1 species